AGAGUUUGAUCCUGGCUCAGAACNAACGCUGGCGGCAUGCUUAACACAUGCAAGUCGAACGAGACCCCCGACUUCGGUCGGAUGUCUAGUGGCGCACGGGUGCGUAACGCGUGGGGAUCUACCAUAGGGUGCGGAAUAACUCAGAGAAAUUUGAGCUAAUACCGAAUAAUAUCUUUGGAUCAAAGGUGUGAUUCCGCCUGGGGAUUGGACCGCUUUCUAUUAGCUUGUUGGCGGGGUAAUGGCCCACCAAGGCUUAGAUGGAUACCGGGUGUGAGAGCAUGGCCCGGCUCACUGGGACUAAGACACUGCCCAGACACCUACGGGUGGCUGCAGUCGAGAAUCUUCGGCAAUGGGCGCAAGCCUGACCGAGCGACGCCGCGUGCGGGAUGAAGGCCUUCGGGUUGUAAACCGCUGUCAGUUGGGAGGAAAUAUUAGGGGGUACUCCCCCUAAUUUGACCGAUCUUCAGAGGAAGGACGGGCUAAGUUCGUGCCAGCAGCCGCGGUAAGACGAACCGUCCAAACGUUAUUCGGUAUCACUGGGCUUAAAGCGUUCGUAGGCGGCCUAGUAGGUGAGAUGUGAAAGCCCACGGCUCAACCGUGGAACAGCGUUUCAAACCACUAGGCUCGAGGAUGGCAGGGGUAAUGGGAACUGAUGGUAGAGCGGUGAAAUGCGUUGAUAUCAUCAGGAACACCGGUGGCGAAAGCGCAUUACUGGGCCAUUUCUGACGCUGAGGAACGAAAGCUAGGGUAGCGAACGGGAUUAGAUACCCCGGUAGUCCUAGCCGUAAACGAUGAGCACUGGGUUGAGGGGACUUCCACAUCUUCUCCGGCCGUAGGCGAAAGGCGUGAAGUGNUCCCGCCUGGAGAUGACG
rnacentral:rRNA from 1 species